GGGUGCCAUAUAAAAAUAUGGCAGGUAUGGUGAAGGCCGGGCCGCCUCA
ncrna:unclassified sequences nhaA-I RNA